GGAAUAUUGGACAAUGGGCGCAAGCCUGAUCCAGCCAUGCCGCGUGAGUGAUGAAGGCCUUAGGGUUGUAAAGCUCUUUCAGUGGGGAAGAUAAUGACGGUACCCACAGAAGAAGCCCCGGCUAACUUCGUGCCAGCAGCCGCGGUAAUACGAAGGGGGCUAGCGUUGUUCGGAUUUACUGGGCGUAAAGCGAACGUAGGCGGAUCGUUAAGUCGAGGGUGAAGUCCUGGAGCUCAACUCCAGAACUGCCUUCGAUACUGGCGAUCUUGAGUCCGGAAGAGGUGAGUGGAACUCCUAGUGUAGAGGUGGAAUUCGUAGAUAUUAGGAUGAACACCAGUGGCGAAGGCGGCUCACUGGUCCGGUACUGACGCUGAGGUGCGAAAGCGUGGGGAGCAAAC
rnacentral:rRNA from 1 species